ensembl:lncRNA
GUUUAUACUCACUUGUGUAAGUUCAAUCUAUUGGAAGAUUUCCUGUAUCACUGAGGAGUGUCAGAAACUUGAAGAGAAACUCCUGCAGCUUGCACCUGGUUUGAUGUGAUCCUCAUUCCCUGUCUGCCUCUGAGCUGUUUCAUGUUCCCUCUGCUCCCUAGGGCUGUUUGUUUUAUCCCCUCUCCAGCCAACAGCUCUCUAGUUUGAGUGCCAGACUUCUGGGAUGGAGGUAAUUUGUUUGUUAUACUUGCAUUAUUUCUAGUACAGUGAAGCACUGACCCCCAGGUUAUCACACUACAGCUAGCUCCUAAUAAUGGAAAUCUGACCUGCUGGUACAAAAUACUGUGCAAUAAAAAGUGAUGAAUGUCUGUGUCAAGGAACAAAAUUCAAAGCUUUCCCAAAUAAUUUGACAAGACUAUUUCCACACCUCUGAUUGCUAGAUGUGCCACAGCUCCUGUUGUCAGCCUGUUUGUUGUCAGGAUGAUGAAACUACUUUCAAACUCUAUGGCCCUAGUAUUUUGUAUCAGGAGUCCCCUGAAAAUUAUCAGGCAACACUGCUUGCAGGAGUCACAUAUUCUUAGUACUCAUACGUGUUGGUUUUCUGUCCAGCUGAAUAUAGGAAUGAUCAGAAUUCCUCUUGCAGAAGAGUCUAAGAGUUAUGGACAUCACUUUCAUGUUAUCUCUUGGCUGCCUCCUGAGCCAAUCCCCUAUGAUCUUCAAAGGUUCUCCAACAAAUGGGUGAUCUGGAUCAAAAUAUAGGAAUAACCCACUCCCACUAGAUCUGUGCAAAUCCAAUUAGAUAAUGACAUUCCUUAGUGGAAGCUGCCACUAAGUACAUUGCUACUCUUUUAGUCUUACAGCAAGCAUUGUCAACGGUAGCCUUGACAAGGCGAAAUGGUUUUAAACCAGUAGCUAGAAACCCAUGCAGGUCAGCACAGACUGUGUAGAAGCUUGUGGGAAAGUGAGAAUUUGAAAACACACAUGCUGACAGUUUCUUCUCAGGGUCUCAUUGCUUGGCCUGCACUGAUGAUGGAGGGGAAGGACAUGCAGACUUCUGGAAGUCCGGCACAAGUUUGCAUCUUCCAAGGAGGCUGACUUCUUUAUGGAAUAUACUUCAACUGGCUCACCUUAAUUCUGGUGAGGAGGACUCUAGAACAUACAAAUUUGUCAUUCGAAUAAUUUGUUUUUGAUUUCACUGGACAGGGUACUGACUCACCCUCACUGUAGCAUUUGUUUCUAUACAUCAAUUUAACUGAGUAGGUGACAUCCAGCAUAAAAAAAAAAAAACCCAACAAGAUCUCAUUUCUUAACAGAGAUUAAAGCAACUUACUACUGCCUCUGGGACUGUGAGCUCAUCUUUUAGUUGGCCUUACUAAUUAGCAGCAUAAACUUCUGCCUCCCUUAUGAGAUUGGCUUGCAAGUGGAUUUUGACAGAAGCUCUGAGAGUCAUGUAAGAAAUGUUCUAAGGGACUACUCAGGCUGAUAAUAUGAAUAAUGAAAUGAAAAAUACUAAAAUACAGUGCAAUUCCUAAUAUGAAACAAUCUGAGAUAACGGCUUCCUGGGAAAUACCUUCUGAA